CUCUACACCCGGCCGCGCGCCGCGCCCCCUCCGCGCCCUCUUUUUCCUCUCGCAGUCAGCCAGCCAACCUUGCCCAAGUUUGACUUGAAGAAGUUGUAGGGAGUGUUUGGGCGAGUGACACCUCGGGGUAAGAAGGAGAGACACAUUUUUUUGCCCCCUCCCCACGUUAGUAAAGGUACAGUGUGGCCAGAUGCGGGGUGUUUGACCCUCAAAGUGGCGCGUGUGACUAUCUCGCGCGUUCCGGGGAGGUAUAGGAAGCGCGCACACCCCUCGAAGCCACGGAACAAGACACGGCUCAACACUGCACACCUUCGAAGCUCGGCGGCAGCAGAGCGGAGCCCGACAGGACUGGGCCAUGCGGACCCAGCGGCCAGCGCCGCGCCUUGGGAGUUCCCUCCGCGAAGGGGGUGAUCAAGCGCCCCCAGACGUGGAGCCCGCCCAUCCUCGCGGACUUGGACCUGAGGCCGGAACAUUGAAUGACUUUACAAGGAGAGCACUCCGACACCUCAACAGCUCACGCCUCACAAGCUUAGCUGUGGCACCGACUCUACUCCCACUUACCCCCUGUGAAACCCGAGGCAGACAAUUCACUUCUCUGAGCCCUUAUCUCCUCAUCUGCAAAAUGGAAAUAAUGAGGGCGAAGGGGGCAGUUUUUAGGCUGAGAGGAAGCAUGUCCAGGGCUGACACGAGGUAGGUAGGCAGAAGCAAUCUUACUCUUUUUUUCUUUAAUUUAGAGACAGGAUCUCACUCUGCUGCCCAGGCUGGAGUAUUGCCCAGCCUGUUGCCCCAGCUGGUACAAUCAUAGCUCACUGCAACUUCAAACUUCUGGGCUCAAAUGAUCCUCCCGUGUCAGCCUUCUAUUCACCGGAACUACAGGCACACACCACCACGCCCAGCUAUUUUUUUUAUUUUUUAGAGACAGGGUCUCUCUAUGUUGCUCAGGCUGAUCUUGAACUCCUGGCCUCAAGCAAUCCUCCCACCUCAGCCUCCCAAAGCACUGGGAUUACAGGCUUGAUCCUCAGAACCUGGUCAUUUUACUAUUAAAAUUACAUGUCAGAAUCUCCCAUUUCGCUUCUUAAACUCCCAGCAGUAUUCCACUCCACCCCUUUCAUUAGUCAUAAAAGUGAGGUGUCUGCAUUCAGGCAUCCCAGGAUCCUUUGCAACUCCAGCUCAGCUAAGCAAGAGAGGGGAACUUCCCAGGCAGGGGCACAGCAGAGAGGGAGGUGACAGCAGAGGUUAGGUGGCCUCACUACACUGAACAUCACCCAAGAGGAGGCAGGGGAUCUGCUCACAGCCAGAUGGUAUGGAGAAGCAGGCGGGGCUUGAAGAUGCCUGAGUGUGGGUCUCUAGGUCUUUCUCUGGUGGAGACCGUGAAGUAAGGUCAGCUUCUCAGGCCACAUCCCAGGGAUAAUGGUCCUUGCAUGAGCCACCUUCUGUCCCCACUGAUAAAGCAGUAUAUUUAGGUACCAGAGGAGACUUGGCAUAAACCUAGGAGCAGUCCCCAUGCAUCCGUAUUUUCUCUUAUCCCAUAGAACACAUGAGCCCUCAACUGGUCCUAAGUUGACCCCAAUAAGAUAACCUAAUCAAAACAACAACAAUAAAAGAAUCUCAGCUUCUCAGCUGAAAGAGGGAAGAGGAGAUAGUCCUCUUGGCAUCUCUUUCACUUGACUGAGUUCCCAUCUCUUCUCUUCCUCCCAGAACCUCCUCCCUAAGCCCUCCCCUCAUCUCCCUCCUCUCAGGGGUCCCUGGAAUGCCUCCAUCCCUUAUUGUCUGUCCUUAAAAUCUUAAAGGGAAACCAGGAAGGAGAGAAGGAGAGAGACUAUGGGAAUCUCAUCCCUGGUUCUGAUUAAGCUUCAAUUAGAAAUAAAAUAUGUCAAUCACUCCUCCUGGAAGGGGUUCCUGCUGUCGGGGCUGGUUAUGCAAAGCACUCCAAGGUGUGUGGGGAUAAUCAAUUAGGUCAGAGGAGGGAAAGUGUGGCACUGCUUCCCUCAUUAUCUGCGUGGAGCUGGGGAGCGGGGGAGCAUCCCGGAGCCAGGGAGCCGGAGGAGAAUGAAAUUAUCUCCCUAAGUGAUUGUCCACCUCUGGGACCAGCAUAUUAAUGGUUUCCAAUUGAAUCUCUUUCUAGGGGAAUACAGGAAGGGGGAGGUGGGGUCUACCUAGAAAACAACAUGGAAGGACCAGAGGGCAGGCGCAACGGAAGUCACUCACCUGUCCCAGGUGAGGAAUGAGGACAAGGCAGGGUCCCCACCUACCAGGUGGGUGUUCUCUGAGCACACUGAGGACAGCCGGGCUCAGAGACUCCACUGCCUGAGUUUUGCAAGGUUGGCCAUAGGGAUUGAAUGCUUGGGUAAGAAUUGGAUGUCAGACAUUUUCUGUUUUAGUUUUAUUGGGAGUUUUUGCCGGGGACUUGCUUUGGGCCUAAUUGUUUGUAUCCUUCUAGAAAUGUCCUCUGGAUCCUACAAUUUCUGGUUGCAGGUACCCUUCACCCACUUCGAGUGAAAAUGGACAAUUGUUUGUAAAAAUUGUGUCUGUGAUGAACUAACACCAGCUUGAGUGGGGGCAGGUCUCAUACUCUCUCUAGGCCCACUUUUGACAUCUGUGCAAUGGAGGGUUUGGAUUAGAUGAAUUUAUCCAAGCUUUCUUCCAAAUCCAGUGUUGUCUAGGAUUAGGCAUAAAGGAAAGAACUAUGAGUUCAAAGAUAAUCGUUGGGGGUGAGGGGGCCCUUUGACCUCUCUGGAUACUGCCUCUUGAUCCUAAUUCGCUGCUGUCCUUGGAUUCAGCCAGCCAACUUGACCAAUUAAAAAUGCCUGUCUGGCGUAGUGGCUCAUAUCUGUAAUCCCAG
rnacentral:lncRNA from 1 species